AAAAACUCCGGUGGUGUGAGAUGGAUCCGCGUCUGAUUAGCCAGUUGGCGGGGUAACGGCCCACCAAAGCGACGAUCAGUAGCCGGCCUGAGAGGGUGACCGGCCACAUUGGGACUGAGACACGGCCCAAACUCCUACGGGAGGCAGCAGUGGGGAAUAUUGCACAAUGGGCGAAAGCCUGAUGCAGCGACGCCGCGUGAGUGAAGAAGUAUUUCGGUAUGUAAAGCUCUAUCAGCAGGGAAGAAAAUGACGGUACCUGACUAAGAAGCCCCGGCUAACUACGUGCCAGCAGCCGCGGUAAUACGUAGGGGGCAAGCGUUAUCCGGAUUUACUGGGUGUAAAGGGAGCGUAGACGGCGAAGCAAGUCUGAAGUGAAAACCCAGGGCUCAACCCUGGGACUGCUUUGGAAACUGUUUUGCUAGAGUGUCGGAGAGGUAAGUGGAAUUCCUAGUGUAGCGGUG
rnacentral:rRNA from 1 species